CUUUAAACCUUUUUCUCUAUCAUCACCCACGAUCUCCACCUCUUCCACUUCUUCUCCGCCAAAAUCUCUACUAUCUGUAUUUAUAAAAUCGUUUGAUGGUCUUCUCAUCCUUUCACAUUGACUAUUCGUACUUUCUUCAUUCGGAAGAAUCAAUUUUACUAUUUUUUUUGAAAAAAGAGUUAAAAGUCGACGAAGUUUGAAGAUUCUCACUGUCGACGAAGUGGAUAAACGUGCUAAGACAACGACAAAAAUUGUUUUCAAAUAAAUAUUUAUAAAUCUGCAAGGUUAUGGAAGUUAGCAGUUCCCCAACUAUGACAACUAGAACAGAAAUUGGUAAACUCAUAUUCACUUAUCUUGGUUUUUUUUAUUUUGCAAGCACAGAAAAUUUUAUCUUAGUAGUAAGGGUCAAUUUAUUUUUUUGGCAUGUAAAGACCCGUUCAUUUACUUUUAAAAUCUUAUUUCACACUUGCAGUAAUUGUCCAUUCUCUUUUUUUAAACGUUUCUUUUUAUUGGCUUUUGCAGUGGAUCCAGCAGAUAAUACCACAUAAUCAUGAUGAAUCUUUGUAUUUUUUCUAUAUUGUUGUAACGCCCGCGAAUCAAAAUUCUGCAUUUUGGGGGUGGGUGUU